rnacentral:rRNA from 1 species
AGCGGCGGACGGGUGAGUAACGCGUGGGUAACCUGCCUCAUACAGGGGGAUAACAGUUGGAAACGGCUGCUAAUACCGCAUAAGCGCACAGUACCGCAUGGUACCGUGUGAAAAACUCCGGUGGUAUGAGAUGGACCCGCGUCUGAUUAGGUAGUUGGCGGGGUAACGGCCUACCAAGCCGACGAUCAGUAGCCGACCUGAGAGGGUGACCGGCCACAUUGGGACUGAGACAUGGCCCAA